CCUACGGGAGGCAGCAGUGGGGAAUUUUGCGCAAUGCUCGUGAGCCUGACGCAGCGACGCCGCGUGAAUGACGACUGCCUUCGGGGCGUAAAGUUCUUUCGACAGGGAAGAAAAUUCCUAUAAGUAACUGUGUAUGUAUUGACGGUACCUUUAUAGACAGCCCCGGCUAACUCCGUGCCAGCAGCCACGGUAAUACGGAGGGGGCGAGCGUUGUUCGGAGUGACUGGGCGUAAAGAGAACGUAGGCGGUUUUGUAAGUCAGUAGUCAAAGUCUAGGGCUCAACCGUAGGAAUGCUAGUGGUACUAGCAGACUAGAGUACCAGUGAGGAAUGCAGAAUUCCUGGUGUAGCGGUGAAAUGCGUAGAUAUCAGGAGGAACACCGUUAGCGAAGGCGGCAAUCUGGCUGGAAACUGACGUUGAGGUGCGAAAGCGUGGGUAGCAAACAGGAUUAGAUACCCUUGUAGUC
rnacentral:rRNA from 1 species